ensembl:lncRNA novel transcript, antisense to NGEF
ACUGGCGUCGUGGGUGUGGGGCCUGGGCAGUCACAGGGCCCUGUUCUUAGAAGGUGCCCCGGCUUGCUUUAAUGCUGUGUUGUUGUCCUUUUGAAAGCCUUACUAUUUUAACAAGGGGCCCUGCAUUUUUAUAUUGCACAGGGCCCUGCAAUUAUGCAGCCAUUCCUGCUUUUGAUCUCACUUACCCCACAGCCAUAAUGGAAGAGCGCCUGGAAGGAGUCCUUAUCCUGAUUCCCAGAUGGUGAAACUGAGUGCCAGGAGGGGCAGUGCUGAAGCCGAGACCAGACAGGAUCCCUCGGGUGGAAUCCAGGGCUGCUGUUUCUCUUGGGGGCUCCUCCUCAGUGAAUGGAUGGGUGGCACCUGCGAGCAGGAUGGUGUGUCCCCGGCUAAAUCCACAGGCGCUCCACUCUGUCCCAGAGAGCCCACAGCCAAAAACUUCGUCCUGUCCUGGAAAAGCUUCACUGCCUUCCAACAGAGCCUUCCUGCAUGCCGAGGUUGAAGAGGUGUCCGCUGAGUGCUCUGUCUUCUGGGAAUUUUGGCUGUUUCCUGCAACCUAUCAUCAGAUGCCACACUUAUGAGACCCUCAUCCUUCUGCUCACUCUCUUCCAUUGUUUCACUCAUUAAAAAUAUAUAUUUUAAGCAA